CAAUUAUAUAAAGCUAAGUUAUGAAUCAGGAAGUUACCCUGCAAAUGAUCUCAUCUACUAUUUUUAUAAAUGAGAUGACUGAUGUCUCAGGGGCACCAGUGGAACUUGGUUGUGGUCAAAAGCUGAUGAAUAGAGCAGCCUGGAUCUGCCCCAUGAUGCCUGGACUUGGGCUUCUCCACCCUUUUGUGUCUGAAAAUUCAGCAUGGAGACUACUAAAGUAGAAUCAAGACCUGCUGGAAAAAUAACCGUGUGUUGAACCAGGAAGCUAUACAGAAGCCAAAGAACUCCAUAUUGUCUCCUGCAUAUUGCAAAUGACGUUCUGAUUGGAGCUACCAAGGGCCCUAGAAGCAGAAAGUACCAUCAGUCCCAAGCUUUGUUCUGCAGAGUAACAGGUGUUAUGAAGUGAUGAAUGGAGAAAUCUCAGCUGCCCCACAGAGGGUCCCAUGGAUGAAGAAAAUUUUAAAUAUGCCAAGUUCCAGAGUUAUCCUUCCUCUCUACAGGUCUUGAAAAUAAAUCACAUUGAAAUCA